UUGCUUCUUUGCAGGAAAGCUAUGACAAACCUAGACAGUAUAUUAAAAAGCAGACACAUUACAUUGCCAACAAAGGUCCGCAUAGUCAAAGCAAUAGUUUUACCAGUAGCCAUGUAUGGAUGUGAGAGUUGGACCAUAAAGAAGGCUGACCACCAAAGAAUUCAUGCUCUUGAACUGUGGCGUUGCAGAAGGCUCUUGAGAAUCCCUUGGAAUGCAAAGAGACCA